rnacentral:rRNA from 1 species
GAUGAACGCUAGCGGGAGGCCUAACACAUGCAAGUCGAGGGGCAGCACGUCUUCGGAUGGUGGCGACCGGCGCACGGGUGCGUAACGCGUAUGUAACUUGCCCAUAACUGGAGAAUAGCCCAAAGAAAUUUGGAUUAAUCCUCCAUAGUAUUAUGAAACCGCAUGGUUUUAUAAUUAAAGCUCCGGCGGUUAUGGAUAGACAUGCGUCCCAUUAGCUAGUUGGUGAGGUAACGGCUCACCAAGGCUACGAUGGGUAGGGGUUCUGAGAGGAAGGUCCCCCACACUGGUACUGAGACACGGACCAGACUCCUACGGGAGGCAGCAGUGAGGAAUAUUGGUCAAUGGGCGAGAGCCUGAACCAGCCAAGUCGCGUGAAGGAAGAAGGUUCUAUGGAUUGUAAACUUCUUUUGCAGGGGAAUAAAGGACGGUACGUGUACUGUUUUGUAUGUACCUUGCGAAUAAGGAUCGGCUAACUCCGUG